rnacentral:lncRNA from 1 species
GUCACAUGUUGUCAAACAUGGCUACCUACACCACCAUCAUAGAAGAGAUGGAAGUGAGUUCUUCUGCAGCACCCCAGAGCCGGCCUGCAGUCAGGAAGGCCUCCCCAGAGGCAUCCACGAAGCUGCCUGCCAACCUGGGUGCCCCAGGCAUGGGCCCCUCUAAGCCUGCCCUAGGAGGAGAACAGUUUGUGUGACACAGGGGGCGGAGGCUGGGUCUGAAUCUUUUUUUUUUUUUUUUUGAAACAGAGUUCGCUGUGUCGCCCAGGCUGGAGUGCAGUGGUGCAAUCUCACCUCACUGCAACCUCCGCCUCCCGAGUUCAAGCGAUUCUCCUGCCUUAGCCUCUCUAGUAGCUGGGAUUGCAGGUGUGCACCAUCACGCCUGGCUAAUUUUUGUAUUUUUUAGCAGAGACGGGGUUUCUCCAUAUUGGGCAGGCUGGUCUGAACUCCUGACCUCAGGUGAUUCGCCCACCUCAGCCUCUCAAAAUGCUGGGAUUACAAGCGUGAGCCACCGCGCCCAGCUGGGUCUGAAUCUUUAACAGUUCCCCUCCGCUCCUGGAGCCCCUCCCACAGCCAGCCCUUGCUCACCAGCGGGGGAACCAACAGCCCCUUCCUCACCCUCCUGGGGGUUGGGGUCUCUCUCCACAAUACCAGUGCCGGGACGCAUCCCUCGUCUUCUCUGCUCCUUUCCGUUGUCCGGAGGCCUAGGCCCAGUCAUCCAGCCAGCCUCCACCCAGCUCCUCUCCCUGCACACAAAGACUGACCCCAUCAAGCUGCACUUCCUGAAACACACCCACAAACCAGAAACUCAGCCUCCCCUUUGCCCGCAGGAUGCCCAUGGGCAAAACUGUCACCAAGAGAAGAGAGGAGGGGCCCAAACCGGCUCUGUCUCUGUGGAGAAAGAGCCUGCCUAGGGCUGGACCCUGGUUGUGUGGCUUCAGAACACCCUGGCCAGGAGUGACACUGAUGGAUCACUCACCCUCCUGCCGACUGCACAGCCCCGUCCUGGACUCUGGCAGACCACGAGCACUGGCUUCCCAGCAGAACCUGGCUUGACCCCAACAAGGCAGACAUUGUGACGUUCACCCAUGUAGAGAUGUAGAGAGAGCCAUCUCAGACCGCUGACCUCCGCAACCAGCAGAUAAUCAGCAUCUUGUUUAAGACUAAGUUAACUUUAAGACUAAGUUUGGGCCGGGCGUGGUGGCUCACGCCUGUAAUCCCAGCACUUUGGGAGGCUGAGGCGGGCGGAUCACAAGUUCAGGAGAUCGAGACCAUCCUGGUUAACACGGU